AUUGAACGCUGGCGGCAGGCUUAACACAUGCAAGUCGAACGAGUGGCGGACGGGUGAGUAAUGCUUGGGAAUCUGGCUUCUGGAGGGGGAUAACGACGGGAAACUGUCGCUAAUACCUCGUACCAUAGGAUGAGCCCAAGUGGGAUUAGGUAGGUGGUGGGGUAAUGGCCUACCAAGCCGACGAUCUCUAGCUGGUCUGAGAGGAUGACCAGCAACACGGGGCCUGAGAAAGGGCCAGGACUCCUCCGGAGGGCAGCAGUGGGGAAUAUUGCGAAAUGGGGGAAACCUGACGCAGCAAUGCGGCGGGAAUGAGGAAGGCCUUGGGGUUGUAAAGUUCUUUCGGUAACGAGACGUUAAUCACAGAAGAAGCACCGGCUAACUCCGUGCCAGCAGCCGCGGUAAUAC
rnacentral:rRNA from 1 species